rnacentral:rRNA from 1 species
GCCAGCAGCUAGCUCUCUGCAGCUCUCACAUGGUCGCCCACUGAAGCCAAGCAGGGCUUCGCCCGCUCAGUACCUGGAUUGGAGACCACAUGGGAAAGCUAGGUUGCUUCUGAAA